ACGGUUAGAAUGAGUAUGGGUUUAACCAACUGUGGCAGAGAUGAGUUGGCAGAAGAAGAAGAGUCUACUCCAUCUAAUCCUCUGCUAUCGACAUGCAACACCGCCAAAUUCAAUAUCCCUAAGGACUCCUUCAACUUUGCAUACUUAAUCUACUUCACAUUGGGUACCGGUUACCUCCUCCCGUGGAACGCCUUCAUCACCGCCGUCGAUUACUUCAGCUAUCUCUACCCUGAUGCCAGCGUCGAUCGGGUUUUCGCGGUGGUUUACAUGCUCGUCUGCCUUGCUUGUCUCCUAGUCAUCGUCUUCUUCGCCCACAGUUCCGAUGCCUCGGUCCGAAUCAACGCGGGCCUUGUGCUGUUCGCGCUGUCCCUGCUCGUGGUCCCUGUCAUGGAUGUGGUCUAUAUCAAGGGAAGGACGGGCCUCUAUCCUGGCUAUUACGUCACCGUUGCCGCAAUUGGCCUUUCCGGGGUGGCCGACGCCUUGGUCCAGGGCAGCAUUGUUGGUGCCGCUAGCGAGCUUCCUGAGAGAUAUAUGCAGGCUGUAGUUGCGGGAACUGCCGCAUCCGGGGUUCUGGUUUCAGUUUUGAGGAUUGUAACCAAAGCUAUAUUUCCACAAGAUGCCCAUGGUCUUAGAAGAAGUGCCAACUUUUAUUUCACUGUUAGUAUUGCUUUUAUGGCCAUAUGCAUUGUCUUCUACAAUAUUGCACACAGGCUUCCUGUUAUUCAAUAUUACAAAGACCUGAAAAUUCAAGCCGUGAACGAGGAUAAAAUUGAGGAAGGCUCCUCGGCUGGGUCUUUAUUCACAGCAACAUUGUGGGACAUUGUAGGGAGGGUGAAGUGGUUUGGGUUUGGGAUCAUCCUUAUCUACAUUGUAACCCUGUCAAUAUUUCCAGGAUAUAUUACAGAGGAUGUGCACUCCCAGAUCCUUAAAGACUGGUAUCCGAUCCUUCUUAUUGCUGGCUACAAUGUGUUUGAUCUGGUGGGCAAGUCUUUAACGGCAAUAUAUCUCCCAGAGUCCUCGAAGAUGGCAAUUGGAGCCUGUGUAGCAAGGCUGUUGUUUUAUCCUCUCUUCCUGUUGUGUUUGCAUGGACCCAAGUUCUUCCGAACAGAGAUUCCAGUCACUGUGCUAACAUGCCUUCUUGGGCUCACAAAUGGCUACGUUACAAGUGUAUUAAUGAUCAUGGCUCCCAAGACCGUCCAGAUACAACAUGCUGAGACUGCCGGUAUUGUGAUUGUGCUGUUCUUAGUUAUUGGCUUGGCAGCUGGUUCAGUGGUGGCAUGGUUCUGGUUCAUCUGAUACUUCAACCUGUAUCUCUAUAUCCUCUUAACAAUUUGUCAAUGUAUUGUCACAAUCAAUUUUUCUUCAAGUGGGUUGCCUACUAGUUCAAUUUGUAAAACCUUUGACAUCAUCUAUGCUGUAAGUUUUAUGUAUGUCUUGCUCAUUUUCCAUGGUUUCAUUUUCUAAUAGAAAGUGUGAAGUG